AUUGAACGCUGGCGGCAGGCUUAACACAUGCAAGUCGCGCGAGCGGCGGACGGGUGAGUAAUGUCUGGGAAACUGCCUGAUGGAGGGGGAUAACUAAUGGAAACGGUAGCUAAUACCGCAUACCAUCAGAUGUGCCCAGAUGGGCUGAGCUAGUAGGUGGGGUAAUGGUUCACCAGGGCGACGAUCCCUAGCUGGUCUGAGAGGAUGACCAGCAACACUGGAACUGAGACACGGUCCAGACUCCUACGGGAGUCAGCAGUGGGGAAUAGUGCACAAUGGGCGCAAGCCUGAUGCAGCCCUGCCGCGUGUGUGAAGAAGGCCUUCGGGUUGUAAAGCACUUUCAGCGAGGAGGCGUUACUCGCAGAAGAAGCACCGGCUAACUCCGUGCCAGCAGCCGCGGGAAUUC
rnacentral:rRNA from 1 species